UACGUAGGGGGCAAGCGUUGUCCGGAUUUAUUGGGCGUAAAGAGCGUGUAGGCGGCCAGGUAGGUCCGUUGUGAAAACUGGAGGCUUAACCUCGAGCUGUCGGCGGAAACCAUCUGGCUAGAGUCCGGAAGAGGAGAAUGGAAUUCCCGGUGUAGCGGUGAAAUGCGCAGAUAUCGGGAAGAACACCCGUGGCGAAGGCGGUUCUCUGGGAUGGUACUGACGCUGAGACGCGAAAGCGUGGGGAGCGAACAGG
rnacentral:rRNA from 1 species